rnacentral:rRNA from 1 species
UUGAACGCUGGCGGUAUGCUUAACACAUGCAAGUCGAACGGAAACGAUACUAGCUUGCUAGUAGGCGUCGAGUGGCGGACGGGUGAGUAACGCGUAGGAAUCUGCCUGAUAGUGGGGGAUAGCCCGAAGAAAUUCGGAUUAAUACCGCAUAAUCUAUUCGUAGUAAAGUGGGGGACUUUCGAGCCUCACGCUAUCAGAUGAGCCUGCGUAAGAUUAGCUUGUUGGUAGGGUAAAAGCCUACCAAGGCGACGAUCUUUAGCUGGUCUGAGAGGAUGAUCAGCCACAUCGGGACUGAGACACGGCCCGAACUCCUACGGGAGGCAGCAGUGGGGAAUAUUGGACAAUGGGGGCAACCCUGAUCCAGCAAUACCGCGUGUGUGAAGAAGGCCUGAGGGUUGUAAAGCACUUUCAAUUGUGAAGAAAAGUUAGCGGUUAAUAACCGUUAGCCUUGACGUUAACUUUAGAAGAAGCAUCGGCUAACUCCGUGCCAGCAGCCGCGGUAAUACGGAGGGUGCAAGCGUUAAUCGGAAUUACUGGGCGUAAAGCGCGCGUAGGCGGUUUAUUAAGUCAGAUGUGAAAGCCCCGGGCUUAACCUGGGAACUGCAUUUGAAACUGGUCAACUAGAGUAUGGUAGAGGAAAGUGGAAUUUCUGGUGUAGCGGUGAAAUGCGUAGAUAUCAGAAGGAACAUCAAUGGCGAAGGCAGCUUUCUGGACCAAUACUGACGCUGAGGUACGAAAGCGUGGGUAGCAAACAGGAUUAGAUACCCUGGUAGUCCACGCCGUAAACGAUGAUAACUAGCCGUUGGGGGGAUUUACCCUUUAGUGGCGAAGCUAACGCGUUAAGUUAUCCGCCUGGGGAGUACGGCCGCAAGGUUAAAACUCAAAGGAAUUGACGGGGACCCGCACAAGCGGUGGAGCAUGUGGUUUAAUUCGAUGCAACGCGAAGAACCUUACCUGGUCUUGACAUCCUGCGAACUUUCUAGAAAUAGAUUGGUGCCUUCGGGAACGCAGUGACAGGUGCUGCAUGGCUGUCGUCAGCUCGUGUCGUGAGAUGUUGGGUUAAGUCCCGUAACGAGCGCAACCCCUAUCCUUAUUUGCCAGCACAUCAUGGUGGGAACUAUAAGGAGACUGCCGGUGAUAAACCGGAGGAAGGCGGGGACGACGUCAAGUCAUCAUGGCCCUUACGACCAGGGCUACACACGUGCUACAAUGGGAAGGACAAAGAGCCGCGAAGCCGCGAGGUGUAGCUAAUCUCAUAAACCUUUUCGUAGUCCGGAUUGGAGUCUGCAACUCGACUCCAUGAAGUCGGAAUCGCUAGUAAUCGUAGAUCAGAAUGCUACGGUGAAUACGUUCCCGGGUCUUGUACACACCGCCCGUCAAGGG